GUUUGCAGGUUAGAGUCACCGGCCUCAAGUCUUCCCUCUCGCUACCCCCCUCCUCCUCCGACCUAACUAUAAACCAUUCCCACGAAGUCGGAGUCACCACACUCCACGACCUUCCUCCUCCGCCGCCAUUCUCCGUUAUGCCGCCGCUUCCUUCGCCGACGCCAUGAAGGGUGGCCGGAUCCUAAGCCCCCUCUCCGAUGCCUCCCCUUAUCGUCCUCCGCGAGUUUCCCCACCACCUUAAAUGCUUCUCCGCGGUCCAUCCUACCCUAGCGUGCUCCACCACCACUUCCUCCUUUCUCGCCUCCACCUCGCCACAGCUACGGCCGCCGCCGCCGCCGCGGCCUCCGAUGCGCCCGACCUCUGGAUCGCCAAGGCCGUCGCCACCGCCUUCCUCCUCUAUCCCUCCUCCGCCUGCUCCCGGCUCGCCCCGUUCCUCCCUGCCCUCUCGCCCUCCGUCGCCUUCGCUGCCGUCCGCCGCCUCCCCACCGCCGAGUCUGCGCUCGGCCUCUUCCAAGUCACCCGCUCGGCCUUCGGCGUCGCCCACUCGGCCACCGCCUAUCGAUUUCUUGUUGGGCUUCUAUUUCGCUCGGGCCUCCACGAAGCUGCACUCGAGGUGUUCGACCAGAUGGCGAGCGACGGGCAUUCUCCUGAUGGCCCGUAUCUUGAGUUUUUCGCUAAUUCUUUUGCUGAAGCCGGUCAGCUGGAUGCUGCCUUGAAAUUACUCGCACGAGCUUCUGAAUUCAAUUGCCGGGUUCGAUGUUAUACAUUUAAUAAGCUCAUGAGCCUUUUGGUGGGAAGAAACGGAGCGCAAGACGCCAUUUUUUUCUUCAGAGAGCAAUUGGCUUCGCAAUUCUUCACUCCAGAUACUUGUAGCUUUAAUAUUGUUAUCAAGGGUUUAUGUAGGUUGGGUGACAUUGAUGGUGCGUUUGAGUUUCUCAAAGAAAUGAGAGAUUUUGGAUUGACUCCAGAUACAGUAACACACAACAUUCUUGUCGAUGGUUUGUGUCAGACCAAGCAGGUGGACAGGGGGCAUGAGAUUUUGAGGAGAAUUCAAUCAGAUGGCUUGUGUGUGCCGAAUGUUGUCACGUACACGUCUGUGAUUUCAGGUUAUUGCAAGAUGGGCAAGAUGGAAGAAGCCUUUGAGGUUUUCAGUGAUAUGAUUGGGUUAGGAAUAAGGCCUAGUAGAGUCACCUACAAUGUGCUCAUCGACGGGUUUGGUAAGGCCGGUGACAUGCCAUCCGCAGUUUCGGUGUAUGAGAGGAUGAUGGUCUGUGGUUGUCCUCCUGAUGUCGUGACCUUCACUUCGUUGAUCGAUGGGUACUGUCGGAGUGAGAAGUUGGAUGAUGCAUUGAGGUUUUGGAAUGAGAUAGGUCAGAGGGGUAUUCGGCCCAAUGCCUACACCUUUUCCAUUGUCAUAAGUUCUCUGUGCAAGAAGAAUAGAAUAUCUGAGGCUUCACAUUUUCUGAAGGAACUGAGUGAGAGGAGGGAUAUUGUACCCCGUGCCUUCAUUUAUAAUUUUGUAAUUGAUGGGCUUUGCAAGGUGGGAAAUUUAGAUGAGGCAAAUCUACUUCUGUUAGAAAUGGAGGAGAAGAGGUGUUCUCCUGAUAAGUUUACAUAUACUAGUUUGAUCAUAGGACACUGCAUGAAGGGGAGAAUGGUGGAAGCCAUUGGCCUUUUCCAUAAAAUGGUGGCCACUGGCUGUGCCCCUGACAGUGUAACUGUUAGUUCCUUGGUGUCUUGUCUUCUGAAGGCUGGCUUGCCUAAUGAGGUGAAUCGCAUUAUGCUUAUUGCAUGGGGAAGAGAUUUAGGAUUGGAUAUAUCAUCUUCAGAGGAAAGCCCUUCCUCAUUGAGAAAAAGCCUGGAUAUUUCAGUGGUUGUGUAGUUGAAGGAUGCUCUUGAUGCAGAGAGUGAGUUGGCAGGGCGAUGACUUCAUCAUCUGUAUUUUGUGGAGAGGUGCUGACACAGGCUAUUUUCAGAAUCAACCAAUUGGACAAGACGAAGCGUGCCAGUUAAAGCAACAUGCCUCCAGACACAAAUGACAAAAUUUUGGUUUCUGAUUGACUUGGCAAUUUGUAGCAUUUGAAUCACAUUCCCUCAAUUUAUAAAAUUCAUUUUACUUCCAUGGUUCUAAUUUCAUACCUGCACCAUCAAAAAGGUUGUCAGCUGUAUCCUUUUGUUUCUGUACUCUUGUGUCAUUCUUACUCUUGCCUGGAUUGAUAUUUGAGAUCAACUCCUCCUGUACAUUAAUCUUCUGCUUCUUGAACUUGUCUUUGUGUUUUGUAUAAUCUUAAUCUCAUAAGUUUAGUCUUUA